AAUUUUUAUACAAUAUUGACAUGAGUAUUGUCCAUGAGUAAUGAUAUCUCUUGGCCACCGACUAUAGCUCAACGAACAUUGCAAGCAGGAUUGCUGGCUGACGUCGUGACAAGUUUGGCCAUUGACAACGUGACAUGCUACUACGUUAUGAUGAUAUAAAGAUGAAUUGGUACCUAGUACGGCAUGAAUAAUCUGCCAAGGAUAAGUGAGACUAUGAGAGAGUGUCUUAAAUUUUGAUUUGUGGAUUGUGGAUUGUGGUUUGUGGGAUUGUGGGCAGUGAUUAAGUCUAAACUACAUUAAAGUUUUAGAAAAAUAUUUUUAUA
rnacentral:lncRNA from 1 species